rnacentral:rRNA from 1 species
AUAGGACAGAUUGGAGCUUGCUCCCUGAUGUUAGCGGCGGACGGGUGAGUAACACGUGGGUAACCUGCCUGUAAGACUGGGAUAACUCCGGGAAACCGGGGCUAAUACCGGAUGCUUGUUUGAACCGCAUGGUUCAAACAUAAAAGGUGGCUUCGGCUACCACUUACAGAUGGACCCGCGGCGCAUUAGCUAGUUGGUGAGGUAACGGCUCACCAAGGCACCGAUGCGUAGCCGACCUGAGAGGGGACAAACUCUACUGGGACUGAGACACGACCCAGACUACUACGGGAGGCAGCAGUAGGGAAUCUUCCGCAAUGGACGAAAGUCUGACGGAGCAACGCCGCGUGAGUGAUGAAGGUUUUCGGAUCGUAAAGCUCUGUUGUUAGGGAAGAACAAGUACCGUUCGAAUAGGGCGGUACCUUGACGGUACCUAACCAGAAAGCCACGGCUAACUACGUGCCAGCAGCCGCGGUAAUACGUAGGUGGCAAGCGUUGUCCGGAAUUAUUGGGCGUAAAGGGCUCGCAGGCGGUUUCUUAAGUCUGAUGUGAAAGCCCCCGGCUCAACCGGGGAGGGUCAUUGGAAACUGGGGAACUUGAGUGCAGAAGAGGAGAGUGGAAUUCCACGUGUAGCGGUGAAAUGCGUAGAGAUGUGGAGGAACACCAGUGGCGAAGGCGACUCUCUGGUCUGUAACUGACGCUGAGGAGCGAAAGCGUGGGGAGCGAACAGGAUUAGAUACCCUGGUAGUCCACGCCGUAAACGAUGAGUGCUAAGUGUUAGGGGGUUUCCGCCCCUUAGUGCUGCAGCUAACGCAUUAAGCACUCCGCCUGGGGAGUACGGUCGCAAGACUGAAACUCAAAGGAAUUGACGGGGGCCCGCACAAGCGGUGGAGCAUGUGGUUUAAUUCGAAGCAACGCGAAGAACCUUACCAGGUCUUGACAUCCUCUGACAAUCCUAGAGAUAGGACGUCCCCUUCGGGGGCAGAGUGACAGGUGGUGCAUGGUUGUCGUCAGCUCGUGUCGUGAGAUGUUGGGUUAAGUCCCGCAACGAGCGCAACCCUUGAUCUUAGUUGCCAGCAUUCAGUUGGGCACUCUAAGGUGACUGCCGGUGACAAACCGGAGAGAAGGUGGGGGAUGAGGUCAAAAUAUCAAGGCCCCUUAAAGACCGGGGGUAACACCGUGGUACAAUGGAAAGAAAAAAGGGGGCGAACACUCCGGGGUAAACCAAUCCCACAAAAAUUGUUCUAUUUUGGAAACAAUUUU